GCAAAACUGUUGAAACGAGUGUAAAAAAAAAAAUUAAGUAAAAGUUUUAUCCACAGGCUUGAUGAAUGUUGAAGAUAAACUACAUCUUUUAUGUACAGUUGUCAGUGUUGAAAAUUAGAAACAUGGAACUUAUAUAAAUUUACAGAACAAAUCAAAGUUUUAUAGUUAGCUCUCACAAUUUCUCAUUUUCUCACUAGUAGCUCAAAUCUCUCUCACACAAAACCUAGAAAUUUCAAAGCCAAUUCAUAGCUCUCAAUCAUGGAAAUUUCGAAGCUCUAGGUCAUGGCAAUUGUAUAGCUAUUGGUCUCUCAAUGCGGUGGCUCUGUCUCAUCGUCACUCACAAAAUUGAAGUCAAAGUCUUCUGUCAACUCCUUUACUCUUCGCCUACCUCAUUUAAUCUCCCCCAAUUUUCUAGGGUUUCAAGCUCAAUCGCCAUUGUGACACGAAGAUCAUUUAAUUUGCCUGAUUUGUCUCAAUUCUUCAAUGGACGAAAAUUCGAGUCUACUACAAAGGAUGGUCAAGCUAAUAAACAGGUGAGAUUGAAUUUAUUAAUGUAAUUGUUCCAGCAGUUUUUUCACUAUUUGUGGGAUUGAAAGCUAGAACGUUUGUGAGUUCAAAUUACAAGUGCUUGGUAAGUUCAUUUGCCUUUUAAUUUGUGUUAUGUCUCUUUGCCAUCAUCACAUGAAAUGGGUUUUGAUGUUAUGAUUGAAUUUAAGUGGGUAUUAGCUUGUUUUAGUUUUCAUUUCUUGAAUCUGCGUUGUAGCUGUCAAUAUAUUUAAACACAAUCAACAACUCUAGCAUAGGUAGUUCUAUAAAUGGUCUUACCAAUACCAAAACCAAAGAAUUUGGAUAAGAAAACAAGAACAAGGAGAAAAGCCUUAACAGUUCUCUGUCAGUUUGCC